AGAGGGAGGAGUUAAGGAGACAGACAGAGAGAGAGAGAGAUCUGAGGAGAAGAGGGAGAACCAAAAUGGAGGCUGACGUGGUGUUAUCAAAGUGGAGUGACCAGGGCUGACAGGUAUUCUGACAUCUGCUCCCUGAGAGGUGACGUGGGAAGUCCUGCACUGUGAGUCCAUUGAGUAGGACACACCCAGGCCUCUUCUUUUCUCCAGGAUAUGUGCAAGAUGAGAGCCAGCCAUCGUCUCCUGAUAGUGGAGAUUUGAUCUGAAGCAUUCAAAUAGGAAAUGAAUGCUCAGAGGAAGCUUCAAAUUUCUUUCUACUUGAAGAAGCUGAAUUGCAGAAGCUAUCUCUGUCCUGUUAAUCACCGGGUCCACAGUGAAACCAGCCAACUUCAGAGAAGACUCUUGUGCUGCGUGACCCCUGACUGUAACCAAGUGUCCUUCUCUCUGAGACGUUCCCUCGGAGCUUGUUCUCACAGCCCUCACCUCCAGUGACCUCCACGAACUUUUCCACACGAGGGGUUCUCUGCUUCCCUCCAUCUGAGCUGCGCAAUUCCACCAGGCCUUUUGCUCCUCUUCAGUCAGGUGCUUUGGAGGUAAUGAAGUCUUUCGGGGGAAAAAUAAACAAAGGAAAUGCACCCGGUUGAUGUCAAUGGACUUGUUUAACUAUUUAAGGCCACUGUCUCCAAGUGUAAGUGUGCUGCGGUGUGUUUUGUAAAGUAGCGCUUAUAAUCCACUGAGCUUUCCAAACAGCCCUCUUGCCUAUUAAGCCUGCAUUGAGAAGUGGGUUUAAUUUGCCAGAGUAGUUUUUUGUGAUAAUUACAGGACUUGCAGAUUAGCUUGAGUGACUUGGCAAGGUUCUGUAGCUAAUAAAAAAUCACACAGGAAAAAAAUUGUAACAUUCAAUUGCUUCAAGGUUCUUCACGAGAGAAACAUUAAACAAACCUGAUAGGCCAGUUUCCAGUCUGUGAAGGGACUUGGAGGCAAGCCGGGAGAGAGGGAGGAGAAAGAGAUCGCCAUGAUGGGGAAGAAGGAAGAGGAGACCUAAAGGCCAGCUGACAUGUGAGAAUCAGGGAAAGUGGCCACACGGGCCACUUCCACAGCUGUGUUUGAGGACCAACGGUACUGUUGCUCUAGCUACAGGAAUAAUCCUGGGCAGCACUUGUUGACCUUGGUCACUGUCAAGGGAAGAUCGGCUGUUCCCACUGAGGGCAUCUUGAUGGAUUAAGGUGAUCAGCUGAUCAAUGUGAGGGGACAGAUGGGAGCUAGGAACUGUCUCGGUACUGAGUCAUUUUUCAUCUAAUGUGCAAGAAACCCAAAGAGCACAUCAAACAGCGAACUACGCCUAAGCUAUCCAUGUUUCUCCUGCUUCUUCUGAGAGGGUGAUUUACACGUAGCUCAACACUCGAGUGUUGCAGUAUCGAGUGACUGCAACCAAACAAUGGAACAUGCAUCGUGCCUGUUGACAGAGCCUGCAGUUGGCUUGGAACCGGGACCAUGCUGCAUUCGACAUCGUUCCUGGUGGCUGACUUGUUCCCAUAGAAUUAAAUGCUAGGCAUCCAGAAGCUGACUGUGCAUCUGAUGGGCUCACUAACAUUCAGGAACAGGUUGGCCUCAGACUUCAUCAAUGGAAAGAGCCACCUAGAACAUGGAUGCAAGCUGGAACUUUGACGUUGUCUUGGGGAUAAAAGUUAAACAAAGAAGUGGAUUCUUCAGUCCUGACGCGUAAGUCACUGAGAGGAUGAGCUCGUUCCCUCUCCUGAAAGACAUCUUCCUGUUACAGCAGCCAGCUUUGCCAGCUCCCUGAACGUUCUGCUGCCUCCUUGCCCAGAACA
rnacentral:lncRNA from 1 species